UACGGAGGGGGCUAGCGUUGUUCGGAAUUACUGGGCGUAAAGCGCGCGUAGGCGGCUUUGUAAGUUAGAGGUGAAAGCCCGGAGCUCAACUCCGGAACUGCCUUUAAGACUGCAUCGCUAGAAUCAAUGGAGAGGUGAGUGGAAUUCCGAGUGUAGAGGUGAAAUUCGUAGAUAUUCGGAAGAACACCAGUGGCGAAGGCGACUCACUGGACAUGUAUUGACGCUGAGGAGCGAAAGCGUGGGUAGCAAACAGG
rnacentral:rRNA from 1 species